AACCGCUUUUAUCAGUGAAUAAAGUGCACCACGUGUGGUGUCAUUGCAGGUAGCUGAAGAAAAAGGACCGGCUAAUUCCGUGCCAGCAGCCGCGGUAAUACGGAAGGUCCGGGCGUUAUCCGGAAUUAUUGGGUUUAAAGGAAGCGCAGGCGGGAGUGUAAGUCAGCUGUUAAAUAUCAGGGCCCAACUCUGUUAUGCAGUUGAAACUAUAUUUCUUGAGUACGCACAGGGAUGGCGGAAUUCAGGGUGUAGCGGUGAAAUGCUUAGAUAUCCUGAAGAACUCCGAUCGCGAAGGCAGCCAUCCGGAGCGUAACUGACGCUGAGGCUCGAAGGUGCGGGUAUCGAACAGGAUUAGAUACCCUGGUAGUCC
rnacentral:rRNA from 1 species